UACGGGGGGUGCGAGCGUUGCUCGGAAUUAUUGGGCGUAAAGCGUACGCAGGCUGCUCGACAAGUCGAGUGUGAAAUCCCGGGGCUCAACCCCGGACUUGCAUUCGAAACUGUCGGGCUUGAGUGCGGGAGAGGGAAGCGGAAUUCCUGGUGUAGAGGUGAAAUUCGUAGAUAUCAGGAGGAACACCGGUGGCGAAAGCGGCUUCCUGGCCCGAUACUGACGCUCAUGUACGAAAGCGUGGGGAGCAAACAGG
rnacentral:rRNA from 1 species